rnacentral:rRNA from 1 species
AGCAGCCGCGGUAAUUCCAGCUCCAAUAGCGUAUAUUAAAGUUGUUGCAGUUAAAAAGCUCGUAGUUGAAUUUCGGGAUCAAUGCGUCGGUCGUGCUUUCGGGUACGUACUGGUGUCAUUGGUUUCUCCUUUCUGACGAGCCGUGAUGUCAUUAAUUUGGUGUUACGGGUAGUUAGGACUGUUACUUUGAAAAAAUUAGAGUGUUUAAAGCAGGCAUUCGCUUGAAUACAUUAGCAUGGAAUAAUGAAAUAGGACGUUCGACCCCAUUUUGUUGGUUUCUAGGAUCAACGUAAUGAUUAAUAGGGAUAGUUGGGGGCAUUAGUAUUCAAUUGUCAGAGGUGAAAUUCUUGGAUUUAUUGAAGACUAACUACUGCGAAAGCAUUUGCCAAGGAUGUUUUCAUUAAUCAAGAACGAAAGUUAGGGGAUCGAAGACGAUCAGAUACCGUCGUAGUCUUAACCAUAAACUAUGCCGACUAGGGAUCGGAUGAUGUUAAUUUUUUAAUGUACUCAUUCGGCGCCU